rnacentral:rRNA from 1 species
AGAGUUUGAUCCUGGCUCAGGAUGAACGCUGGCGGCGUGCCUAAUACAUGCAAGUCGAGCGAACGGACGAGAAGCUUGCUUCUCUGAUGUUAGCGGCGGACGGGNGAGUAACACGUGGAUAACCUACCUAUAAGACUGGGAUAACUUCGGGAAACCGGAGCUAAUACCGGAUAAUAUUUUGAACCGCAUGGUUCAAAAGUGAAAGACGGUCUUGCUGUCACUUAUAGAUGGAUCCGCGCUGCAUUAGCUAGUUGGUAAGGUAACGGCUUACCAAGGCAACGAUGCAUAGCCGACCUGAGAGGGUGAUCGGCCACACUGGAACUGAGACACGGUCCAGACUCCUACGGGAGGCAGCAGUAGGGAAUCUUCCGCAAUGGGCGAAAGCCUGACGGAGCAACGCCGCGUGAGUGAUGAAGGUCUUCGGAUCGUAAAACUCUGUUAUUAGGGAAGAACAUAUGUGUAAGUAACUGUGCACAUCUUGACGGUACCUAAUCAGAAAGCCACGGCUAACUACGUGCCAGCAGCCGCGGUAAUACGUAGGUGGCAAGCGUUAUCCGGAAUUAUUGGGCGUAAAGCGCGCGUAGGCGGUUUUUUAAGUCUGAUGUGAAAGCCCACGGCUCAACCGUGGAGGGUCAUUGGAAACUGGAAAACUUGAGUGCAGAAGAGGAAAGUGGAAUUCCAUGUGUAGCGGUGAAAUGCGCAGAGAUAUGGAGGAACACCAGUGGCGAAGGCGACUUUCUGGUCUGUAACUGACGCUGAUGUGCGAAAGCGUGGGGAUCAAACAGGAUUAGAUACCCUGGUAGUCCACGCCGUAAACGAUGAGUGCUAAGUGUUAGGGGGUUUCCGCCCCUUAGUGCUGCAGCUAACGCAUUAAGCACUCCGCCUGGGGAGUACGACCGCAAGGUUGAAACUCAAAGGAAUUGACGGGGACCCGCACAAGCGGUGGAGCAUGUGGUUUAAUUCGAAGCAACGCGAAGAACCUUACCAAAUCUUGACAUCCUUUGACAACUCUAGAGAUAGAGCCUUCCCCUUCGGGGGACAAAGUGACAGGUGGUGCAUGGUUGUCGUCAGCUCGUGUCGUGAGAUGUUGGGUUAAGUCCCGCAACGAGCGCAACCCUUAAGCUUAGUUGCCAUCAUUAAGUUGGGCACUCUAAGUUGACUGCCGGUGACAAACCGGAGGAAGGUGGGGAUGACGUCAAAUCAUCAUGCCCCUUAUGAUUUGGGCUACACACGUGCUACAAUGGACAAUACAAAGGGCAGCGAAACCGCGAGGUCAAGCAAAUCCCAUAAAGUUGUUCUCAGUUCGGAUUGUAGUCUGCAACUCGACUACAUGAAGCUGGAAUCGCUAGUAAUCGUAGAUCAGCAUGCUACGGUGAAUACGUUCCCGGGUCUUGUACACACCGCCCGUCACACCACGAGAGUUUGUAACACCCGAAGCCGGUGGAGUAACCUUUUAGGAGCUAGCCGUCGAAGGUGGGACAAAUGAUUGGGGUGAAGUCGUAACAAGGUAGCCGUAUCGGAAGGUGCGGCUG